CGGGGUGAAGAGGGUUUUCUUCUCCGGCUGCGGACAUGGUAGCCGGGAGCUGACGAAGAGUUGGAAAAUAUUUAACUCUCAACAAAUGAAUUCCACACUUGAACUCUGCUGUAUUCCUGUGCCACCUCCUCCUUUAGAGAACUGAUCUUAAGACAGGUAAAAUUAUGACCUUAACUUAAAAAAAAGAUGAAUAAAUAUCCCAUGUGAUUAAACAUGUUAAGAUUUUUGGUAGUCUUUGGUGAGUAGCUUUAUUAAACAGUUUUAUCUGACAUGAUCACAUUGUUCUGUCUUUGAAUUCAGUUUUGAAUUAUUUUAGUAAUUGCAUUUAACAAAUGCCUUAUCUGAAUUUUACUUUUAUUUAGUUCAUUUAUUCAGCAUGAUUGUGAUAUCAGAGUACAUCGAUCACUGUUGUGACUGACGGCUGUGUUCUUUUUCUGUUCUGUCUGAUAUGGAAAAAUAAUCACAUGUUGAUUCUGAGUAUUUGAAAUGUGGCUAGAGGGCUGGAGAGAUGGCUCAGUGGUUAGCAGCACUGACUGCUCUACCAAGAGUCCUGAGUUCAAAUCCCAGCAACCACAUGGUGGCUCACAACCAUCUGUAAUGAGAUCUGAUACCCUCUUCUGGUGUGUCUGAAGACAGCUACAGUGUACUUACAGAUAAUAAGUAAAUAAGUAAACAAUAAAUAAAUCUUUUAAAAAAAAGGGAAAUGUGGCUAGAGCAAAUAAACUGCUCUUUCUAAUGUUCAUUAAUAAUAUACAAAAUAAGGGGUUGGGGAUUUAGCUCAGUGGUAGAGCACUUGAGCGCAAGGCCCUGGGUUUGGUCCCCAGCCCUGAAAAAAAAAGAAAAAAAAAUGUGCAAAAUAUGCAAAUCAAAGCCAGGUGUUGUUUUAUGCCUUUAAUCCUAGUACUUAGGAGGUAGAGGCAGGAUGUUCAGGAGUUCAAGGUCAUCCUUAACUAGACAGCAAGAAGUGACUUAGAAGAGAAAAGAGAGCCCAAAUAAAUGCUUAUUCCCAAAUCUAUUUUGCUUGAACCCAAGAUCUUGCACACACCCAGACAAUCCCACUGUUUUCAUAGAAAACGCAUGCCUGGACAGGUCAAGAUGAGAAUGGGGAAUGAGUAGAAUCACUAAGUUGAAUCUACCCAGGAAAACAGUUGGUUAGAAUUCAGAAAUGGGGGUUGGGGAUUUAGCUCAGUGGUAGAGCGCUUGCCUAGCAAGCACAAGGCGCUGGGUUCGGUCCCCAGCUCCGAAAAAAAGAAAAGGGAAAAAGAAAAAGAAAAAAAGAAAAAAAAAAGAAUUCAGAAAUGGCUGACAGGGCCAUGUUAGUGAAAGCUUUAUACUGACAAGGUUCAAAAUAGGGGCAAGGAAACUUGCAAAGGCAGUGCUCCUGCUACAUAGAGUCUUGACAACUUGAUCCAGCCAGCAUCCUGACAAAAAACUGGUGUGUUUUAUGAAGUCUCCAGAAUGGCUGUAGGGAAGGGGCUCAACACCGUCAGCCUUAUACCCAUACCAGCAAAAUGAGUAAAUUCACCAGCGUAGAACGUACAUCCACAUGCUGCAGGCUUCCCAGCCUUAUUGAGUGUAUGCUGUUGUGUAUGCAUGCAUUCCUUUACUAUCUCCCCUCC
ensembl:lncRNA